rnacentral:lncRNA from 1 species
AUGCCGCAGCAGCCCRGCGCGCACGUCCUCGCUCGCCCCGCUUUACUUCCGCUCCACUUGCGCCCAGCACGACUGCCCGCCGCGCUCGGCUGCAGCCCCGCGGGCGCCGUCACAGCACCGAGGCUCGCUCGCCGCUCGGGGCGUCACCGCGGCGCAGCCCCUUACCCCUUUGGGGUGGGUGACGGCCGUCUGCGUGAGCGCGUCCCUCUGCUCCGCCGGCCCCACGCCGGGCAGCAGCCGCUGGUUCUCCUGCCAGUCGCGCAGCUGCAGCGAGAGCGCCUCGAUGAUGAUGAGGGUGCUCUCCAGCCGCCCCUCCAGCUCCGCUCGCGGCAGGGACUUCAGCUGCUCCCGGGGACAGCUAGGGAAGGAGGGACUCCUGAGGGCCCCGAGCAGGGGCACCCCACGGGCGGGUGGCCCGGCCAAGAGGGUCACUCCAGGACGGCACGUCCCUGGACCCAUCGCUGCACGGGGACUUACUGCCAGAGCAGAGAGUCCGUUUCGGCAGCGCUGUCCUUGGCGCGAGCAGGCGCUUCUGCAGAUGUGUUCGUGCUCCUCUCCAGCAGGUCCCGCGGGGUCAUGAAGGUCCCGGUGGCCACGGUGGGCACGGGGGUGACGCUGGUACCAGCGUCCUGCUGCAGCACGGGCAGGGGCAGGCUGUGCCGCAGGGACUCCAGCAGGGAUGAGGCGUUGAGGCUCUUCUCCAGCCACACCAGUGGCAUCACCCAGGACACGGCACCUGGUGCCAGCUUGGGCGAGGGUACAGGGGUGGCCGCUGGCUCUGGCCCUGGAGGCUCCAACCCGCCUGCCUUGGUGGGAGAGGGCCCAGGGGGGUCCUGUCCUGGUGGGGAGGGGGUCAGGGAUGUUGCUCCCCCGGGGGUGCCUUCACAGGGUGGGGGACCAGCAUCCCCGUCACUGCCUGGGGGCUCGGGUGCCACCGGGCUGCAGGAGAGGUUGGUGGGUGCCGUGGGGCUGCAGGAGAGGUCGGAAGGUGCCGCUCGCCACCCAUGGAAGGGGGCUUCCUGCGGGGUGGAGCUGGUGCCGGGGGGCCCCGGGGUGCAGGACGCUGGGGUGGCAUUGCCAGGGGAGCCCAGCAGGGUGCUGCUGCGGGGCCUUGGGGUGCAGGGCCCUGAGGGGGUGCUGCUGGGGGGCUCCAGGUUGCAGGGCCCCAGGGGGGUGCUGCCAGGGGGCUCCAGGGUGGCACUGCCAGGGGGAUCCGGGGUGCAGGGCCCCAGGGGGGAGCUCUCAGGGGGCUCCAGGCUGCAGGGACCUGGGUUGGUGCUGCUGGGGGGCUCUGGGGUGGCACUGCCAGGGGGGUCCAUGGUGCAGGGCCCUGGGGGGGAGCUCUCAGGGGCCUCCAGGACCCUGGUGCUGCCUAGGGGCUCCGGGGUGCAGGGCCCUGGGGUGGCACUGCCAGGGUGCUCUGGGGUGGUGCUGCCAGCAGGCUCCAGGGUGGCACUGCUGGGGGGCUCUGGGCUGCRGGGCCCUGGGGUGGCACUGCCARGGGGGGGCUCUUGGGCCCUGGUACUGCCAGGGGGCUCUGGGGUGCACGGCCCCCAGGUGGUGCUGCCGGGGGGCCCCGGGGUGCAUGGCUCUGUGGUGAUGCUGCCAGGGGGCCCCGGGGUGCACGGCCCUGGGGUGAAACUGCUGGGGGGCCCCGGGGUGCACGGCCCCGGGCUGGUGCCAUCAUGGUCCUGCAGGACACAGUGGGGGAGGACGUCAGGACUGCCCCAACCCCCCCCCAGUUGCCCCCCC